UUGGUCUGUCUCAGCUGAGAGAAGGAGCAGCUAGCCACGGUCUCAGAGCUGUCCUCAGUGUGUUAACGUUACUGCUGUACCAUACCUACGUUACACUCAUACUGGGUUUCGGAGAAGGUACUGGAGAAGGAAA